rnacentral:rRNA from 1 species
UGGGGAAUCUUGCACAAUGGGCGAAAGCCUGAUGCAGCAACGCCGCGUGGGGGAUGAAGGCCCUCGGGUUGUAAACCCCUUUCAGCAGGGACGAAAUUGACGGUACCUGCAGAAGAAGCCCCGGCCAACUACGUGCCAGCAGCCGCGGUAACACGUAGGGGGCAAGCGUUGUCCGGAUUUAUUGGGCGUAAAGAGCUCGUAGGCGGCUUAGUAAGUCGGGUGUGAAAACUCCGGGCUCAACCCGGAGACGCCACCUGAUACUGCUAUGGCUAGAGUCCGACAGGGGAGCGUGGAAUUCCCGGUGUAGCGGUGAAAUGCGCAGAUAUCGGGAGGAACACCAGCGGCGAAGGCGGCGCUCUGGGUCGGAACUGACGCUGAGGAGCGAAAGCGUGGGGAGCAAACAGG